CUUAGAUGCUCCUCCAGCUCUUCAGAAGCUAAGAGAGAACUUUCCUAGAUGAGACGAGAGUGCAAAUUGAAAGGGCACAAUUAUGCCUUUUUCGGUGUUGCAGAAUGGUGUUAAUUACCAAGUAUCCUCUAACUGCAUCUAUGAUCAGAGAGGAACUUAAACACAAAAAUGAUGGCAGUAUGAAUCUCUUAUUAUGAGCUUGGUGCUACAAAGUCGAAGGAGUGUUCAUCUUUUGUUUCAAAAUUAAGGAAAUUGUA